rnacentral:rRNA from 1 species
GUGGAUCCCUUGACAUGUGGGUCGAUGAAAAACGCAGCAAGAAUGCGCGUUGUCAUGUGAACUGCAGGACACAUGAAUAUCGACACUUUGAACGCAAAUGGCGGCCCUCG